rnacentral:rRNA from 1 species
GACGAACGCUGGCGGCGUGCCUAAUACAUGCCAGUGGGACGCAAGGAAACACACUGUGCUUGCACACCGUGUUUUCUUGAGUCGCGAACGGGUGAGUAACGCGUAGGUAACCUGCCUAUUAGCGGGGGAUAACUAUUGGAAACGAUAGCUAAUACCGCAUAAUAUUAAUUAUUGCAUGAUAAUUGAUUGAAAGAUGCAAGCGCAUCACUAGUAGAUGGACCUGCGUUGUAUUAGCUAGUUGGUAAGGUAAGAGCUUACCAAGGCGACGAUACAUAGCCGACCUGAGAGGGUGAUCGGCCACACUGGGACUGAGACACGGCCCAGACUCCUACGGGAGGCAGCAGUAGGGAAUCUUCGGCAAUGGACGAAAGUCUGACCGAGCAACGCCGCGUGAGUGAAGAAGGGUUUCGGAUCGUAAAGCUCUGUUGUAAGUCAAGAACGUGUGUGAGAGUGGAAAGUUCACACAGUGACGGUAGCUUACCAGAAAGGGACGGCUAACUACGUG